AAUAGAUACCUAGGUAGUCCACGCCGUAAACGAUGAAUACUAGGUGUAGGGGUUGUCAUGACCUCUGUGCCGCCGCAAACGCAUUAAGUAUUCCGCCUGGGGAGUACGGUCGCAAGAUUAAAACUCAAAGGAAUUGACGGGGGCCCGCACAAGCAGCGGAGCAUGUGGUUUAAUUCGAAGCAACGCGAAGAACCUUACCUAGACUUGACAUCUCCUGAAUUACUCUUAAUCGAGGAAGUCCCUUCGGGGACAGGAAGACAGGUGGUGCAUGGUUGUCGUCAGCUCGUGUCGUGAGAUGUUGGGUUAAGUCCCGCAACGAGCGCAACCCUUAUUGUUAGUUGCUACCAUUAAGUUGAGCACUCUAGCAAGACUGCCCGGGUUAACCGGGAGGAAGGUGGGGAUGACGUCAAAUCAUCAUGCCCCUUAUGUCUAGGGCUACACACGUGCUACAAUGGCAAGUCAAAAAGAUGCAAUACCGCAAGGUGGAGCUAAACUUAAAAACUUGUCUCAGUUCGGAUUGUAGGCUGAAACUCGCCUACA
rnacentral:rRNA from 1 species